UUUGAGGCUACAGUGAGAUGUG
rnacentral:miRNA from 1 species